rnacentral:rRNA from 1 species
ACUCAAUUUAUUUUAAAAUGAAUGUAAUGGAUGUAACACAUCUAAUACUAAGUUUCAACAACGGAUCUCUUGGCUCUCGCAUCGAUGAAGAACGCAGCGAAAUGCGAUAAGUAAUGUGAAUUGCAGAAUUCAGUGAAUCAUCGAAUCUUUGAACGCACCUUGCGCUCCUUGGUAUUCCUUGGAGCAUGCCUGUUUGAGUAUCAUGAAAUCUUCAAAGUCAAACCUUUUGUUAACUCAAUUGGUUCUGCUUUGGUAUUGGAGGUCUAUUGCAGCUUCACACCUGCUCCUCUUUGUGCAUUAGCUGGAUCUCAGUGUUAUGCUUGGUUCCACUCAGCGUGAUAAGUUAUCUAUCGCUGAGGACACCCUGUUAAAAAGGGGUGGCCAAGGUAAAUGCAGAUGAACUGCUUCUAACAGUCCAUUGACUUGGACAAAUAUUAAUUUUAUGAUCUGAUCUCAAAUCAGGUAGGACUACCCGCUGAACUUAAGCAUAUCAACAUAUCAAAAGGGCGGGAGAGAAAAAUCCUGGCCCAAAAUUAAGGGGGGGGGUUUGGGUUGACCCUGGCCCCUUUUUAACUUGGGGGCAUGUGCACACCUUUCUCUUUCAUCCAUACACACCUGGUGCACCUGUGAGACAGAUGUUUUUCUACGAGGGAAGGGAACUUUUAUUGGGACUACUCUCUUGGGACUUCUGUCUACUUAAUCUAUAUGAACUCAAUUUAUUUUAAAAUGAAAUGUAAU